UCAUAUAUUACAUGCUUAUGGAAAGUGUUAAUAAAAGUAAUUAAUCUCAUGACACUCAAGGUUGAGAUUUGCUGCAGCAGAUGUUUUAUAGUUUCCAUGCUGUAAGAGGACAUUUGGCAAAAUAAACUAAUGUUGCCUACACAUUGAUAGGUACCAGUGAGUUUACCAAGACAAACAUUUUCAAAAGCCUAUCAAUCAUCAUUAUACUCAGUAAUUAAAAAAUGUGUAGUGGUGGUUGUGUGUUCCAUUACAUUCCCGCCUGCUUUAAAUUCCUUUCACUUUCUACGACUGACAGACCCUCACUCAUUCCUCAUGACCUUGAUAGGCUAGUCGUCUUUUGCCUCCCUACAUUGGCCAUCCAAUCAGAGUAGUCCUUGUUUAUCAAAUAAGUGGAUCCACAUAUGGGCAUGUCACCAAAACAGAGCCAAUCCAAGAUUUUCUGACAACUGAAAUUGAUGUUGGCAUAAAGAGAAUCUUUUUGUUUGUUUAUUUUUCCUGGAUUCACAGGCUGUAGGAUGACGCAUGAUGCAAGUCUGAAGUUGUAUGUGGCCAUCUUUGCCACCACAUUCAGAAAGCUUACCUGAGAAUGAAGUCAACACUGGAGAGAAAGAGAAAGAAAGAGGGAGAACAUAUCAGAUGGAAAGUUGCUCUGUCGCCCAGGCUGGAGUGCAAUGGCACGAUCUGGCUCACUGCAACCUCAGCUUCCCGGGUUCAAGUGAUUCUCCUGCCUCAGCCUCGUGAGUAGCUGGGAUUACAGGAGCAUGCCACCAUGACUGUCUAAUUUUUGUAUUUUUAGUUGAGACGGGGGUUUCACCAUGUUGGCCAGGCUGGUCUCGAACUCCUGACCUUGUGGUCUGCCCACCUCGUCCUCCCAAAGUGCUGGGAUUACAGGCAUGAGCCACCACUCCCAGCCCUGGUUAGGAAUUUUCUACAGAAUUAACUGAGAAAAAAUCCCAGAUGAUACGAGUGUGUUUGUGAGUGUGUGUGUGUGUGUGUGUGUGUGUGUGUGUACCUUGGUAUGACAAUUUUGAUUUACAAAUCAGAUUCUAGAACUAAUAAUUAUUUUAAGCCAAAUUAAAUAAUGUAAAAUGUAAAUUUAUAUGAGUUAUUACUUUAAAAGGUUCACGAUGAAAGAGAUCAUUGGUUUUUAACAAGGAAAAAAAAAACUUGACCUAUAUUUUCUUUCAAGAUUUUUGUAUUUGGACAAGAAAAUGACUCAGUGUUAAAUUCAGGCACUUUAUGACCAGGAUGCAAUAGGUUUGCCAACCUGAAAUUACUUUCUUUCUCUUUCUUUUGAUAUAUGUAAGUGUAGAAUAUCACAACUACCAUGGAAAAACAAAUAAUCAGAGAUUUCUCCUCCUUUUAGGAAUGAUCCUGGCAUGUAAAAAUCUAAUGUUCAUUCUUGCAUUUAGUAAUACAAAAAAGUUGUAAUUCAUUGUAGCAAUCUCUUUUUCAUGGCUUCCCUUCCCUGUUUUCUUUCCUCUUGCCCUCUCCCCUCUUCUGCUCUCCGGAAGUGUACAACCUACUUUCCAGUCUAGUCUGUUAGUCACCAGUAUCCACAAGGGGACCUCAUUCAAAGCACACUACAGAGAUGACACUGAGAUGAGGGAACAGAGCAAGAAGAGGAACUUGAGGAAGGUCUUGAGUUAAAAGUGAUGUGAACUUUGUUGUGCAACCACACAUAGGAACAACUAGGUCUUGAGGAUGCUGGUGGAGUGUUUCUCUUUCAGGGAAAAGGCAGGGAAUGAUAAUAAGGGGCAAUUUGGAGACCACAAAAAUUAUACCCUAACAAAUUAUAUACAAAUCUGAGGCCAGGCACGGUGGCUCACUCCUGUAAUCCCAGCACUUUGGGAGGCAGAGGCGGGUGGAUCACCUGAGGUAAGGAGCUCAAGACCAGCCUGGCCAACAUGGUGAAAACCCAUCCUACUAAAAAUAUAAAAAUUAGCCGAGCUUGUUGGUGCACACCUGUAGUUACAGCUACUCUAGAGGCUGAGGCAGGAGAAUUGCUUGAACUCAGGAGGCAGAUGCUGCAGUGAGCCGAGAUCACGCCACCCUGGGUAACAGAGCGAGAUUCUGUCUCAAAAAAAUAAAUAAAUAAAAUAAAAAAAUAUAUAUAUAUAUACACACACAAAUCUGGAAGAGUAUUUUUCAAUAGUUCUCCAUAUUGUACAUACUAAUAAGUAAUGUUUCUGCUGGGUUGAUGUGCUUCCUAACAGGUGAGAGAGAAAAUAAUUAAUCCUGGCUUUUUAAGAAUGAAUAUAAGUGAGAAGCCUUCAAAUGACUUCAGAAUCACUGUUGUAUUUAGACUGUGAAUAUUAUGGUACAGGAUCAAUAAAAAUUUAUGUUUUAAGUAACGUAACUAUAGAAAAGUACUAUUUUCCAUAUGGUAGGCCAUGUACAACACCAUGAAACGAAGUGAGAAAGUAGAAAAAUAACUGAUCUAAGAGUGAGAAAAACUGGUUCUAGUGCCAAUUCUGUAAUUAAUAAUGUCUAUCAUCUUGGAUAAGUCAUUUAACUCUUGGAACCUAAGUUCUCUUAUUUUUAAAAUGAGGAGAGAGGACUAGGUUAUCUCCAAAGCCCAAUUUAGCCCUAAAUCCUGUGCAAUGGAAGGACAGUACAAUUGGAAACACAUCCUGGUAAUUACUAUCUGCUAUUUAGAUAUCUGUUUACAUAAUUAUCUAAUUUAACCCUCAUAAUAACUGUCCAGUAACAUUUAUCCCCAGUAAAGCUAAUAACAUAGCCUCUUCCUAUAUCCCUGUGGUAUCUCACCUAGUAGCUGAAUUUCAAAAAUGUGUAUGAUCUCAGGCCAGGCGUGGUGGCUCAUUCCUGUAAUUGCAGCACUUUGGGAGGCUGAGGCAGGUCAAUCACCUGAGGUCAGGAGUUCGAGACCAGUCUGACCAAUAUGGUGAAACCCCAUCUCUACUAAAAAUACAAAAAUUAGCUGGGCGUUGUGGUGUGCGCCUGUAGUCCCAGAUAUUCAGGAGGCUGAAACAGGAGAAUUGCUUGAGCCAGGAGGCAGAGGUUGCACCGAGCCGAGAUCAGGCCACUGCACUCUAGCCUGGGCAACAGAGUGAGACUCCAUCUCAAAAAAAAAAAAAAAAAAAAAAUUGUACCAUUUCACAUUAGCUGCAUAAUAUGGCAACUUCAAAAUGUUAUACUAGAUCUUUUAUGUAGAUUACUUUAUUCCCACUGAAAUUUUUAAUUAUUUGAAAUACUAUAUAAAGUAUUUUCAUUUUAUAACUAGAUAGUAAUUUUCUAAGAUUUAAAAAUGUGUAAACACAGUUAUGGCAUAGGCACUGGGGAGAAAACCUCAUAAUUUCAUUGGAUGACUGCAAAAAUUAGCCAAUGUGGAUUAAAAAAACAUUUUAGGAUUCAUUGAUCUAAUAGACACACUUUAGCUUUAAUAAGGCAUUUAAAAUUUGUCAGGAUAAGAUAUAUAGUUUAUAAAACCUCCUUAAGUGGAUUUCUGAAAUUUGGAAUACAAAGGAAACCAGAAAAACAGGUGAAUCAUAGGUUAAAAAUUCUCUAUCAACUUGCAAAAACUUUAAAAACAUCUUUUUUGGUUUCAAAAAAUAUUCAUUUUUCAAGUGCUCCUUAAUUGAAGGGGAAUAAAGUUAUUAAUGGAUUGGUAUUAUACUGACUGUGUAUAAUCAUUUUUAUUCUAGAUUUUUAGAGUUUUCUUUCAUGUAAAAAAUAUGCUAAUUUUGUAGGGUUCUUUUCAUAAGAAAAGAAAAU
rnacentral:lncRNA from 1 species